rnacentral:tRNA from 1 species
CAGGAACUAGUCUAACACAAGACCUCUAAUUUCGACCUAGAAAAUCACGACAGCUUCGUGGCUCCAAA